AUACAUUUAGAAUUUGACAUCCGUCGAUCUUCGGAGUGUAUCUCACUAUCAACAUGUUUAAAUUUGUGUUUUUCGCUGCACUCCUGGCUUUUGCUACUGCUAAGCCCUUGGUGGUGGAGUACUCCGUUGAUCCGGUAGCUUAUAGCACCCCAGUAGCUGUUGACUAUACAGGAUCAGCAUACUACACAUAUCCAAGCUACGCUACCGCUUAUGAUUACUACUCUUACCCAUACAGCUAUUACCUCCGUUGAUAAAGUUGAUGUAUAACUUAUUUAAAUAUAUUUGUUAAGCC